GACGAACGCUGGCGGCGUGCUUAACACAUGCAAGUCGAACGAAGUGGCGGACGGGUGAGUAACGCGUAAUCAACCUGCCCUUCAGAGGGGGACAACAGUUUGAAACGACUGCUAAUACCGCAUACUGAGGGAGGGGCUUGCGUCUGAUUAGCUAGUUGGGGGGGUAACGGCCCACCAAGGCGAUGAUCAGUAGCCGGUCGUAGAGGAUGAACGGCCACAUUGGGACUGAGACAAGGCCCAGACUCCUACGGGAGGCAGCAGGGGGGAAUCUUCCGAAAUGGACGAAAGUCUGACGGAGCAACGCCGCGGGAGUGAUGACGGCCUUCGGGUUGUAAAGCUCUGUUAAUCGGGACGCGGUACCGGAAUAGAAAGCCACGGCUAACUACGUGCCAGCCGCCGCGGUAAUAC
rnacentral:rRNA from 1 species